GCCUUAGUAGUAUAAAAAUUACAUUGGUCUUGUAAACCAAAAACGGAGGACCCCGCUCCCUAAGACA
rnacentral:tRNA from 1 species